CAGUCGCCGCGGUAAUACGAAGGGUGCAAGCGUUAAUCGGAAUUACUGGGCGUAAAGGGCGCGUAGGCGGCGAUCAAAGUCAGGCGUGAAAUUCCUGGGCUCAACCUGGGGGCUGCGCUUGAUACUUGGUUGCUUGAGUGGGGAAGAGGGUCGUGGAAUUCCCAGUGUAGAGGUGAAAUUCGUAGAUAUUGGGAAGAACACCGGUGGCGAAGGCGGCGACCUGGUCCUUGACUGACGCUGAGGCGCGAAAGCGUGGGGAGCAAACAGGAUUAGAGACCCCCGUAGUCCCUGUCUCUUAUAC
rnacentral:rRNA from 1 species